UGGCCAUAUCAGGUUGAAACACCGGUUCCCGUAUGAUCCCCGAAGUUAAGCAACGUCGUGCUUGGUCACUACCAAGAUGAGUGACUGCUUGGGAAUACCAGGUGCUGUAA